GAUGAACGCUGGCGGCGUGCCUAAUACAUGCAAGUCGAGCGAACGGACGAGAAGCUUGCUUCUCUGAUGUUAGCGGCGGACGGGUGAGUAACACGUGGAUAACCUACCUAUAAGACUGGGAUAACUUCGGGAAACCGUAGCUAAUACCGGAUAAUAUUUUGAACCGCAUGGUUCAAAAGUGAAAGACGGUCUUGCUGUCACUUAUAGAUGGAUCCGCGCUGCAUUAGCUAGUUGGUAAGGUAACGGCUUACCAAGGCAACGAUGCAUAGCCGACCUGAGAGGGUGAUCGGCCACACUGGAACUGAGACACGGUCCAGACUCCUACGGGAGGCAGCAGUAGGGAAUCUUCCGCAAUGGGCGAAAGCCUGACGGAGCAACGCCGCGUGAGUGAUGAAGGUCUUCGGAUCGUAAAACUCUGUUAUUAGGGAGGAACAUAUGUGUAAGUAACUGUGCACAUCUUGACGGUACCUAAUCAGAAAGCCACGGCUAACUACGUGCCAGCAGCCGCGGUAAUACGUAGGUGGCAAGCGUUAUCCGGAAUUAUUGGGCGUAAAGCGCGCGUAGGCGGUUUUUUAAGUCUGAUGUGAAAGCCCACGGCUCAACCGUGGAGGGUCAUUGGAAACUGGAAAACUUGAGUGCAGAAGAGGAAAGUGGAAUUCCAUGUGUAGCGGUGAAAUGCGCAGAGAUAUGGAGGAACACCAGUGGCGAAGGCGACUUUCUGGUCUGUAACUGACGCUGAUGUGCGAAAGCGUGGGGAUCAAACAGGAUUAGAUACCCUGGUAGUCCACGCCGUAAACGAUGAGUGCUAAGUGUUAGGGGGUUUCCGCCCCUUAGUGCUGCAGCUAACGCAUUAAGCACUCCGCCUGGGGAGUACGACCGCAAGGUUGAAACUCAAAGGAAUUGACGGGGACCCGCACAAGCGGUGGAGCAUGUGGUUUAAUUCGAAGCAACGCGAAGAACCUUACCAAAUCUUGACAUCCUUUGACAACUCUAGAGAUAGAGCCUUCCCCUUCGGGGGACAAAGUGACAGGUGGUGCAUGGUUGUCGUCAGCUCGUGUCGUGAGAUGUUGGGUUAAGUCCCGCAACGAGCGCAACCCUUAAGCUUAGUUGCCAUCAUUAAGUUGGGCACUCUAAGUUGACUGCCGGUGACAAACCGGAGGAAGGUGGGGAUGACGUCAAAUCAUCAUGCCCCUUAUGAUUUGGGCUACACACGUGCUACAAUGGACAAUACAAAGGGCAGCGAAACCGCGAGGUCAAGCAAAUCCCAUAAAGUUGUUCUCAGUUCGGAUUGUAGUCUGCAACUCGACUACAUGAAGCUGGAAUCGCUAGUAAUCGUAGAUCAGCAUGCUACGGUGAAUACGUUCCCGGGUCU
rnacentral:rRNA from 1 species